UGGGCGAAUCUCGGAACAGGAUAAAUGCA
rnacentral:piRNA from 1 species